GACAGAGGUCCCGAGCGUUAGGCGGAAUCACUGGGCUUAAAGCGUGUGUAGGCGGAUUUGUAAGUACCUUGUGAAAUCCCACGGCUUAACCGUGGAACUGCUUGGUAUACUGCUUAUCUUGGGCCAUCUAGGGGCUACUGGAACAAACGGUGGAGCGGUGAAAUGCGUAGAUAUGUGGAGGAACACCGAUGGCGAAGGCAGCCCCCUGGGUUAACACUGACGCUCAUGCACGAAAGCGUGGGGAGCAAACAGG
rnacentral:rRNA from 1 species